ensembl:lncRNA
GUCAAGAAUGAGCCUCAGGAAACCCUGAGCCUUGCAUCUGCUGAGGAGGGCUGGCUUUGACGAAUGACUUUGGGUUACUCAGUCUUACAGAUCUCAUGGGGAAUGUUUAUUGUUGUUCAACGUGAAGAUCAAGAACUGGACUCCUCAUUUGGAAUGUGGGUGCCUUUCCUGGGCACCCUCGGAAAGCUGGUGACCCCAGUGCUUGUUGGACUGGUUCCACAUUUUACUGGGGCAGCCAGAUUGUGUUUCUGCACACCCUGCUGGCCUGGAGUACCCUCAAAAGUAGCCACCAACAUCACCAUGAAGUUCCCACCUUUGUGACUUCAUCUUAUCUUCAGCACCUCCGAGAACCAUAUUUCUUCCCUUUGGUAUGAACUGCAUCAAGAAGAACCCAGAGAAAUUAUGAAUUGCUACUGCUGAGAUUAGGAUUGCAUCUUGUGCCCUGUCCCUCACUGGUUUCCUCUGUAGUGGUGAAGAUGACAUGUCCAAGACUACCAUCUCUCUACAGCAGUCAGGAAACACUGGAAGCCAACCAAAG